rnacentral:lncRNA from 1 species
GCUAAUUCUCCCACGCGAUGCUGCGGGAUAAAGCUUUACAUAAUCAUAUCCUCACUAAAACUACAGACCUUAUAUUGCAACAAACAGGUUGGGAUCUCUUUACUAUCGAAUAAAAGAUCUGUGGAUUCAUUGAUUGUAACAUGCUCACUCAGGUUUGGAGGUUAGACUUGAAGUAACUUUCUUUCUACUUUUCUUAAAAACUGUAAGAAGAAAAAUAGAGGUCAGAGUAGAAGUCUAGAAUUAGAAGCACACUAUUCCGAAGCGGGUACUGUUCAUAAGCUAUUCAUACUGGUUUGGAAAUUAGAAACACUGUUCAUAACUACAGUAACCCAUAUUCUGUUUUUCUUCUCACUACCAUAAAUGAUAGUAAUACAAUGAAAAUGAACAUGUUCUCCUCAAAACAGACAUGGCAAAAGUUCACAUCCUGAAAUCUAAUCUGAAAAUCUCACAACAAUUUUGUCUGGAGGGAAGACUUGUAUGAUCAUUGACAUUUUAAGGGAAAAACCAAAGAACGAAAAAUGUGGGACAAACCUGUGAAGCAACACAGCUAAGAAACUGGGUAGAUAUAAGCUCAACCCUGACCCCCCAAAAAACCUUGCCUCUGCUUUUAUAUUUCCAGCAUAGAGACAUACAGUACUCAAACCACAAAGAGCAAAGUUAUGAAUAGAUAUAUACAGAAAA